UGGGUGUGGCAGACCCCUGGGCUAACAGCCCAAGGAAUGCACUUCAAUGGCCCCCACAGGUGUCCUAUCGGCAUGCCUGGACCAGCUCAGAACAAUGGCCCUCACCAAUGUCUCAGUCUCUGGAGAGGACCCUCCUCUCACCAAGAUGCCCCCAGAGCCCACCAGAGUAAGAUUCUCCCUACACUAACGUCUGUGCCAAUCUUCUUCCUGUUUCUCCCUCCUCACAGCCCCAGUACAUGGUCGUGUAUAGUUAAAAUCUGCAAAGUCAUGUAGCCAGAGCAUGUGCAGAAAAAGAAAUCUUGACCUGAAAUGACCGUGGAACCAAAGAUUCUCCUCUCCAAGGAACCAAAGGACCAGGACAUGACCAGAAUGUAAAAGUCAGACUCUUAUCAGAGGCCAAGGGUCCAUCAUUCAGGAAGAUCUGGUGUUAAAACUCCUUCCCCACCUUACCAUAAAAGUUUAGAGCUUCAUCAUAAAUAUUUAGAAUCCUGCCAUAAAUGCUUGAAGCCCGCCAAUCAAAACCUGUCCUGUCAACAUUUCCAAGUGCCAGCCUGUUCUCCCUAACCUCUUAAAUUUUGCCCCAAAUCCUGAAUUGGGGAGACAGAUCUGAGGGCACAUUCCCCCUGUCUCCUUGAAGAUUAAUCUCUGAGAAUAAAGCUGAAUUCUUUUCCCAAAUGCUGAUGCCAUGAUUGAUUGGCUUGUUUAUGUGCAUUGGGUAGGAGAACCCCAUUUUUGUGCAAUAACAACACUGUCUACCUGGAGGUAGCAUCAGAUUCCACAAAUUAAAGGUUCAUCUCUGCAAGACCACCCCCACCCCUUCCACUUCAGACACAAUUCGCAAGCCCAGGCUGUUACCUGUACUUCUUACCAAUCAGC
rnacentral:lncRNA from 1 species